GUUAUCUCCACAGGAUCAACGUCAUAACGGCGGGGGCUCAGGUCCAAUUCCACGCGCUGUUCCAAUGGUUUCUCCGAACGGCCCGACUGAAGAACCAAAACCGCAUGGCUUUUCGGCUCUGGUCGCCGCAGGAACGAACAAAAACAGAACCAGAGGCUACCCGACACCCUCGCUGCUCCGCUCUUCCUCCAAUGGCGCGGCCGCUCCCCGCCUCCUCCCUAUUCUUGGAAACGAGUCGCUCCGAGAAAAAUAACCAAACUUCCGAUCCUCGCUGGGGCUCCCGCCCCCCACCCCAAACUCCGUCCUCCUCCUCCCGCCCGGCCCCAUUUUUAUGGCAUAAAUCCCCAAGCCCUACCACCUCUAUUCCUGAGAUGGCUUGCUGUCUUUCGCUCCUCCUCGCCGUGGCUCUACGGCUCGCCUUCCCGGCCUUCGCCGAAACCGACCAACAUGAUGGUCAAUAGAUUACAUACUGGUGUCUCAUAUUCCUCAGAAGUUGAAGUUCAAGAACCAACUUUCUAGUGAGGUAGGCGUAGUUACUGAGUUAAAUUAGUAUCCGAAUUACCGUGCUUCUUUAUUACAAUGAAGACAAUGCAUCCAUCAGUCUACUUGACUGUGAAAAGAUAGACAGACUGCUCAAUAUUUUCCCCCAAAAGAACAAUCCUUAUAGUUUUAGAGUCGUUAAUAGGUUGGAAUAAAUUGUUGCCUGCUAGAGGCCCUACCAACUAGAUAAGACUGACAUCAACUCCUAAAAAAGAUUAUUUAGAUGUUAAUAAAGUUAGUUUAAAAAGAAUUUUUUAAAAGUUUUUUGCAUGAUUAUAUCAUUCUUUAUUUUCAAAUAAAUUCAAGAGCAUUCAUAUUUCAUUUUUAUUGUUCAUGCAUACACCGAAAAGAGAGAGAUGUGCUUGCCACUGAGAUGUUGUUUCUCCAAUGUUCUUUUAUUCUGUUUUCUCAUGGAGAAAGGCUUACAAGGUUGUUUUAUGGGCAAGCACUUUUGUCGUUACAACAGCAGCAUCGCACCUUUCCAGCUACGCCAGUUUCGAAGCAAUGGGAAUUCUCAUACUUUGGUCCACAAAAGCGUUCGCAGCCACCAGGCUCACAAGAUGGCCCGCUAAAAUCUUGGCAAAAGGGUUCCUCAGCAUGAACAGCUGUAGAAUGUAGCAAAUAAGGAUACAAGUUAGAAAA